UACGAAGGGUGCUAGCGUUGUUCGGAAUCAUUGGGCGUAAAGCGUGCGUAGGCGGCUUGGUAAGUCAAUUGUGAAAGCCCUGAGCUCAACUCGGGAAUUGCAAUCGAAACUGCCUUGCUAGAGUAUGGUAGGGGAUAGUGGAAUUCCUAGUGUAGGGGUGAAAUCCGUAGAUAUUAGGAGGAAUACCGGUGGCGAAAGCGACUAUCUAUGCCAUUACUGACGCUGAGGCACGAAAGCGUGGGGAGCAAACAGG
rnacentral:rRNA from 1 species